UUGGAAUUAUUUGGGAUAAUUUGGGAUUAUUUGGGAUAAUUUGGGAUAAUUUGGGAUUCGGGGCCAGGCAGAGCCAGAGCUGCGUGUCCCUGUCCCUGUCCGUGUCCGUGUCCCUGUCCCUGUCCCUGUCCCUGUCCCUGCUCCGGGUGUCCUCUGGAUUUGGCUGGUUUGGAAUUCCCAGGAAUUCCUGGGAUCGGCCGCUCCGUGUCCAUCCGGCUCCUGAUGGGGACAUCCCGGUGUGGGGACAUCUGGGAAUGGGGACAUCCUGGAUUUGGGGACAUCCCGGAUUUGGGAAUCCCAGAUUUGAGGACAUCCCAGAUUUGGGGACAUCCCAGAUUUGGGGACAUCCCGGAUUUGGGGACAUCCCAGAUUGGGGACAUCCCAGAUUUGGGACCUCCUGGGUCAGGGCAUUCCGGUGCUGAAGCAUCCCAUGGUCGGGGCAUUCCAGGAUUGGAUCAUUCCAAUGUCGGAGCAUCUGAUGGAAUGUUCUGGUGUCGGAACGUUCCGGUGCUGGAUCCCUCUGACCUCGGAGCAUCCCCAGGGUGGAACAUUCCGGAAUGGGAACAUCCUGCUGCUCCCGGUGCUGGAGCGUUCCCGUAUCCGAGCAGCCCCGCCUGGGAUUUUCCUGGUGUUGGAGCCUCCUGCUGUGGGAUCAUCCCAGGAUCAGAGCGUCCCCACGGCGGAACAUUCCGGAACAUUCUGGUAUCGGAGCUUCCUGGUGCCGGAGCCUCCUGGUCCCAGAGCGACCCAGUCCUGGAUCAGUGUUGGAUCAUCCCAGUCCUGGAUCAUCCCAGUCCUGGAUCAGGGUUGGAUCAUCCCAGUGCCGCAGCAUCCCAGAGUUGGUGACAGUGAUGGAACAUCCCAGUGCCAGUUUAUCCCAGUGCCAGUUUAUCCCAGUGCCAGUCGAUCCCAGUCCUGCCCCAUCCCGGUCCCAGUCUAUCCCAGUAUCAGCCCAAUCCCAGUCCCAGUUUAUCCCAUUCCCAGCCCAUCCCAGUGCCGGCCCAUCCUGAGGGGAAACUGAGGCAGCUUGGGGGCGGAGCGGGUGGCAGUGGCAGUGUUGGGGUCCCGCUGCGCCCCCUGGAGGAUCGCGGGGGGGCCGCGUCCCCCCUUUGGGACCCCCAGGGACCCCCGUGGAACCCC
rnacentral:lncRNA from 1 species